rnacentral:rRNA from 1 species
UGCCAGCAGCCGCGGUAAUACGUAGGUGGCAAGCGUUGUCCGGAAUUACUGGGCGUAAAGGGCGUGUAGGCGGUCUUUUAAGUCAGGCGUGAAAACUUAGAGCUUAACUCUGAGACUGCGUUUGAGACUGAGAGACUUGAGGAUCGGAGAGGGCAGUGGAAUUCCCAGUGUAGCGGUGAAAUGCGUAGAUAUUGGGAAGAACACCAGUGGCGAAGGCGGCUGCCUGGACGACACCUGACGCUGAGGCGCGAAAGCCAGGGGAGCAAACGGGAUUAGAUACCCCGGUAGUCCUGGCUGUAAACGAUGGGUACUAGGUGUGGGAGGUAUCGACCCCUUCCGUGCCGGAGUCAACACAAUAAGUACCCCGCCUGGGGAGUACGGCCGCAAGGUUGAAACUUAAAGGAAUUGGCGGGGGAU